rnacentral:rRNA from 1 species
CUACGGGUUGCAGCAGUGGGGAAUAUUGGACAAUGGGGGAAACCCUGAUCCAGCAAUGCCGCGUGUGUGAAGAAGGCCUGCGGGUUGUAAAGCACUUUCGGUUGGGAGGACUGCUUCUAGCACUAAUAUUGUUGGAAGUUGACGUUACCUUCAGAAGAAGCACCGGCUAACUCCGUGCCAGCAGCCGCGGUAAUACGGAGGGUGCAAGCGUUAAGCGGAAUUACUGGGCGUAAAGCGCGCGUAGGCGGCUAGAUCAGUCGGGUGUGAAAGCCCCGGGCUUAACCUGGGAACUGCAUCCGAUACUGUCUAGCUUGAGUACAGGAGAGGAGAGUGGAAUUCCACAUGUAGCGGUGAAAUGCGUAGAUAUGUGGAGGAACACCAAUGGCGAAGGCAGCUCUCUGGCCUGAUACUGACGCUGAGGUGCGAAGGCGUGGGGAGCAAACAGGAUUAGAUACCCCGGUAGUC